CUCCGCUUGGUGUAGUUGGUUUAUCACGUUCGGCUGUAAUAUCUGGUUGUAACCGAAAGGUCCCUAGUUCGAUUCUGGGAGCGGAGA